GACGAACCGUGCGAACGUUGUUCGGAAUUACUGGGCGUAAAGGGCGCGUAGGCGGUUGGAUAAGUCAGCUGUGAAAACCACGGGCUUAACUCGUGGCCUGCAGUUGAGACUGUCUGGCUUGAGUGUGGGAGAGGAGAGUGGAAUUCCUGGUGUAGCGGUGAAAUGCGCAGAUAUCAGGAGGAACACCGGUGGCGAAGGCGGGUCUCUGGGCAGUAACUGACGCUGAGGAGCGAAAGCGUGGGGAGCGAACAGG
rnacentral:rRNA from 1 species